UUUCCUACGGGGGGCAGCAGUAGGGAAUCUUGCGCAAUGGGCAAAAGCCUGACGCAGCCAUGCCGCGUGAAUGAUGAAGGUCUUAGGAUUGUAAAAUUCUUUCACCGGGGACGAUAAUGACGGUACCCGGAGAAGAAGCUCCGGCUAACUUCGUGCCAGCAGCCGCGGUAAUACGAAGGGGGCUAGCGUUGCUCGGAAUUACUGGGCGUAAAGGGCGCGUAGGCGGACAGUUAAGGCAGAGGUGAAAGCCCAGGGCUCAACCUUGGAACUGCCUUUGAUACUGGCUGUCUUGAGUUCGGGAGAGGGGAGUGGAAUGCCGAGUGUAGAGGUGAAAUUCGUAGAUAUUCGGCGGAACACCAGUGGCGAAGGCGACUCACUGGCCCGAUACUGACGCUGAGGCGCGAAAGCGUGGGGAGCAAACAGGAUUAGAUACCCUGGUAGUCCC
rnacentral:rRNA from 1 species